UACGUAGGGGGCAAGCGUUGUCCGGAUUUAUUGGGCGUAAAGAGCGUGUAGGCGGCCAGUUAGGUCCGCUGUGAAAACUCGAGGCUCAACCUCGAGACGCCGAUGGAAACCAACUGGCUAGAGUCCGGAAGAGGAGAGUGGAAUUCCCGGUGUAGCGGUGAAAUGCGCAGAUAUCGGGAAGAACACCCGUGGCUAAGGCGGCUCUCUAGUACGGUACUGACGCUGAGACGCGAAAGCGUGGGGAGCGAACAGG
rnacentral:rRNA from 1 species